rnacentral:rRNA from 1 species
AUUGAACGCUGGCGGCGUGCCUAACACAUGCAAGUCGAGCGGUAACAGGUGUAGCAAUACAUGCUGACGAGCGGCGAACGGGUGAGUAAUGCUUCGGAAUCUACCUUAUGGUGGGGAAUAACUAGCCGAAAGGUUAGCUAAUACCGCAUACGUCCUACGGGAGAAAGCAGGGGAUCGCAAGACCUUGCGCCAAAAGAUGAGCCGAAGUCGGAUUAGCUAGGUGGUAGGGUAACGGCCUACCAAGGCGACGGUCCGUAACUGGUCUGACAGGACGACCAGACAAACUGGGACAGGGACAGGGCUGAGACUCCUACGGGAGGCAGCAGUGAGGAAUAUUGGACACGGGGGGAAACCCUGAUCCAGCGACGCCGCGUGUGUGAAGAAGGCCUGCGGGCUGUAAAGCGCUUUUAGUGGGGAUGAAAUGUGCAGGGUUAAUACCUCUGCAUUUUGACCUAACCCACAGAAAAAGCACCGGCUAACUCUGUGCCAGCCGCCGCAGUAA